rnacentral:rRNA from 1 species
CGCCGGGUGUACAAUGGCAUUCAUCUGCCUGCGCUUCGCCUCAUCCGAAAAAAUGACUGCCGCCAGUUUCCCCCGAUCCAGUCCGCCCUGCGGCAGGAAAAUAUCCUCCGGGUAACCCAGCUUACGGAUCAGCUCCUUAUCCCACUGGAAGGUAUCGGGAUUCACCAGCUGUGUCGUGGAACCGUUCGUGUACUCCGACAAUUUAUUGCCCGUCAGACGGAAACCGAAGUAAUCCGGCAGCAUGAGAAGUGUCUUUGCCUGUUUCAUAAUCUCCGGGGUCUUCUUUUCCACUGCCAUAAGCUGAUAAAUCGUAUUAAAAAUCUGCUUCUGAAUACCGGUUCUGGCAUACAGUUCCGUCUCCGGCAGUAUUUUCGCCACUUCCGCAUCCAUUCCGUCAGUACGGUGAUCUCGGUAGCCGUAAGUAUCUCCCAGAAUCUGAUCUUUUUCAUCCAGCAAUACAUAAUCCACAGCCCAGGUGUCGAUUGCCAUGCUGACCGGAAGCUUGCCCAGUUCUUUGCAUUUUUUCAUUCCGUUCAGAAUCUCGCCGAACAGACGGUUCACAUCCCACAGAAGCUUUCCGUCCUUAUGAUCCAUGCCAUUCUCAAAACGAUAGAUCUCUUCCAGCUCUAUUUUGCCGUUCUCCAUGUGUCCCAAAAUAUGUCGUCCACUGGAAGCACCGAUAUCCACGGCCAGAUAAUAUUUUUCCAUAAGAUAUCCACAGCCUCCCUUAUCUGAAACUGAAUACCUGUGUAAGAAGCGGCUGUGCUCCUGUAACAGGAUCCUUCUCCAUGAUCAGAAUAUCUUUCAUAUAUUCAUCCCAUUUUUUCACUACAUCGCUCUCUGCCUGCACUUUUGCCGCAUAGUCGACGCCCUUUUCACAUUCGUAAUAACCGAACAGUUCCUCGCCCUGCAUCCAGAUAGAGUAAUUUACAAUUCCAGCGUUUGCCAGAACUUCCUUCAUCUCCGGCCAGAUGUUGUCAUGUCUCUUCUUAUAUUCCUCCUGCAUUCCCGGUACAAUUUUUCCGCGCCAUGCGUAUUUUUCCAUACAAACCACCAUACCUUUCUCACUCAUUAUUUUCGUUGCAAAUCUGCUCUGUUACCCAAUCUCUGUCGCAAUAUUCCUUUGCUUCGGGCAUCAGCUUUUUCAUAAUCUGUGCUUGCAGAAGCACAAACUUGUGCUUUUAACGAUAUUAUAGAAAACAUAAUCUGCUUCUGAAAUGACAUUAUUUGCUCCCUGGACUGUCCGAUUUUGCCCGAUCCGUACGAUAACUGUUUAUUACAGCACAUGAAUUGUGUUAUGAUACAAUAAGUUCACCCGUAUAAAGCAGCCGCCGUGGAUAAAUUGUACCGCAAAUUUGAUCACGAUAGCCGCCCAAGCAAAGAGAGUAUGAAAAAUACCAUCGUUAUGUAUCAUAAAUAAUAAUUUAGAAAGCACAAUUUUUAUGGAACGUACAUUAACCUAUACAACAGAUCAUUUCAUAUCCCCCCUGCCGGUCAGCCAUUUCCUGAAGCAGAAAGGGUUUUCUUCCCAGAAUCUGGUGCAGUUAAAAAAAGACCCCACCGCCGUGCAGGCAAACGGGAUUCCCUGCUUCAUGAAUCAUAUAUUGCAGCCGGGAGAUACCUUGACGCUGCAUAUCCACGAGGAACACUCCUCGGAAAAAAUCCCACCGGUGGAGCUGCCGCUGGAUAUCAUCUACGAGGACGAGGAUCUCAUGGUGAUCAAUAAGCCGGCAGGCAUGCCGAUCCACCCUUCCAUGAACAAUUAUUACAAUUCCCUGGCAAACAGUCUUGCCUAUUAUUUUGCACAGCAGAACUGUCCUUUUGUGUUCCGCUGUAUUAAUCGUCUGGACCGGGAUACCUCCGGACUGACCAUCGUAGCCAAGCAUUAUGUCAGCGCCGGAAUGCUGUCCACCAUGAUCGCCAACAAGGCAAGUUCCGGUAUCACACGGGAAUACCUUGCCAUUGUAAAAGGCUCUGUGCUGCCUUCUGGGGGUAUUACUGCAGCUUCGCGUUGUUCCCGGGCACGGGACGUGUAGGAUAGGUCGGAGGCAAUGAAGCGGUUUCGCCAGGAAUCGUGGAGCCAUCGUUGAAAUACGACCCUUCUCUUGUCUGGGAUCUAACCCAUGUGAUGGGGACACCGCGUGGUGGGUAGUUUGACUGGGGUGGUCGCCUCCAAAAGCGUAACGGAGGCUUCCAAAGGUACCCUCGGGUUGGUUGGUAAUCAACCUCAGAGUGCAAUGGCACAAGGGUGCUUGACCGGGAGACCAACGAGUCGAUCGGGUGCGAAAGCAGGGCAUAGUGAUCCGGUGAUCCCGCGUGGAAGGGUCAUCGCUCAAAGGAUAAAAGGUACUCCGGGGAUAACAGGCUGAUCGCCCCCAAGAGCUCAUAUCGACGGGGCGGUUUGGCACCUCGAUGUCGGCUCGUCACAUCCUGGGGCUGGAGAAGGUCCCAAGGGUUCGGCUGUUCGCCGAUUAAAGUGGCACGCGAGCUGGGUUCAGAACGUCGUGAGACAGUUCGGUCCCUAUCCAUCGUGGGCGUAGGAUAUUUGAGAGGCUUUGUCCCUAGUACGAGAGGACCGGGAUGAACGCACCUAUCGUGCACCUGUUGUCGUGCCAACGGCAUAGCAGGGUAGCGAAGUGCGGAUGAGAUAAACGCUGAAAGCAUCUAAGCGUGAAACUCGCCUCAAGAUAAGAUAUCCCAAACUUUAAGUUUGUAAGACCCCUGAAAGACGAUCAGGUUGAUAGGUCGGGAGUGUAAGCGCCGCAAGGCGUUCAGCGGACCGAUACUAAUAGGUCGAGGGCUUAUUCU